UAUGAACCGUUAUAACCGGCGAUUUCCGAAUGGGGAAACCCAGUGUGUUUCGACACACUAUCAUUAACUGAAUCCAUAGGUUAAUGAGGCGAACCGGGGGAACUGAAACAUCUAAGUACCCCGAGGAAAAGAAAUCAACCGAGAUUCCCCCAGUAGCGGCGAGCGAACGGGGAGGAGCCCAGAGCCUGAAUCAGUGUGUGUGUUAGUGGAAGCGUCUGGAAAGGCGCGCGAUACAGGGUGACAGCCCCGUACACAAAAAUGCACAUGCUGUGAGCUCGAUGAGUAGGACGGGACACGUGGUAUCCUGUCUGAAUAUGGGGGGACCAUCCUCCAAGGCUAAAUACUCCUGACUGACCGAUAGUGAACCAGUACCGUGAGGGAAAGGCGAAAAGAACCCCGGCGAGGGGAGUGAAAAAGAACCUGAAACCGUGUACGUACAAGCAGUGGGAGCACGCUUAGGCGUGUGACUGCGUACCUUUUGUAUAAUGGGUCAGCGACUUAUAUUCUGUAGCAAGGUUAACCGAAUAGGGGAGCCGAAGGGAAACCGAGUCUUAACUGGGCGUUAAGUUGCAGGGUAUAGACCCGAAACCCGGUGAUCUAGCCAUG
rnacentral:rRNA from 1 species